rnacentral:rRNA from 1 species
AAUGAACGUUGGCGGCGUGGAUUAGGCAUGCAAGUCGAGCGAGAAGUCUUAGUUUGAAGCUUCGGCCGAUUUCUAAGAUGGACAGCGGCGAAAGGGAGAGUAAUGAGUGGAUUACCUACCCCCAGGACCGGGAUAGCUGUGGGAAACCGCAGGUAAUACCGGAUAAUAUCUCCGGAUCAAAUGGUGAGAUUCCGCCAGGGGAUGGGUCCGCUUCCUAUUAGCUUGUUGGUGGGGUAACGGCCUACCAAGGCAACAAUGGGUACCGGGUGUGAGAGCAUGGCCCGGCUCACUGGGACUGAGACACUGCCCAGACACCUACGGGUGGCUGCAGUCGAGAAUCUUCCGCAAUGGGCGAAAGCCUGACGGAGCGACGCCGCGUGCGGGAUGAAGGCCUUCGGGUUGUAAACCGCUGUCAGAGGGGAACAAAUCCAUGAGGGUUCUCUCUCAUGGUUGAGUGAUCCUCAGAGGAAGCGCAGGCUAAGUUCGUG